rnacentral:rRNA from 1 species
GACAGAGGGUGCAAACGUUGUUCGGAAUUACUGGGCGUAAAGCGCGUGUAGGCGGUCUCGCAAGUCGGAUGUGAAAGCCCAGGGCUCAACCCUGGAAGUGCACUCGAUACUGCGAGGCUAGAGUCCCGGAGAGGAUGGUGGAACUCUCGGUGUAGAGGUGAAAUUCGUAGAUAUCGAGAAGAAACACCGGUGGCGAAGGCGGCCAUCUGGACGGUGACUGACGCUGAGACGCGAAAGCGUGGGGAGCAACAGG